UUUGACAGUUGAGGACAGACAGGUGAGGACAGAUGGGACAUCACUGCGGCGGCUGAUAUCACUUCCUCCUCCUGCAGCAACCUGUUUGCCUGGGCAGAGGAGUACAAAAAUUCCCAGACCAAGACUCCGAAGUCCCACCAUUUUCCAACCUGAAAAUCUGACCCACAUGAGCGACCGCGCUGCAGGUCAGCGGCACCGGACCUUCUGCUUCAACUGUUAAAGGAAGGAAAUUUUCAACAUCUGCUAUUGAAGCAUCAGCUAAAGCAAUGUGAAACUCGGAAAUAAACUCCGGCCG